GAUUUUCCAAAUCUGCCUGACCCACAGGCCAUGUUUGAUAUCAAUUUCUUUAGUAAGGAUCAGAGACCAUUCUUUAAAUUUGCAAAGGAAAUAUACCCAGGUCAGUUUGAGCCAUCAAGGUCUCACAAAUUUAUUAGAUUGCUGGAAACCCAUGAAAAGCUACUCAGAAACUACACACAGAAUAUAGAUACUCUGGAACAAGUUGCUGGAAUAGAAAGGGUGAUACAAUGCCAUGGUUCAUUUGCAACAGCAACCUGUAUGGCCUGUAAGCACAAAGUUACAGCUGAUGCAGUUAGGGAGGAUAUAUUCAACCAGGUAAUCCCUAAGUGUACAGUCUGUCCUGAGGGAACAGAAAUGGCCAUCAUGAAGCCAGACAUUGUGUUUUUUGGAGAAAGUCUACCAGAAGAGUUUCAUCAGCAGAUGGCUGAAGAUAAACAAGAUUGUGACCUUUUGAUUGUGAUUGGCUCGUCCCUUAAAGUUCGACCUGUGGCUCUUAUUCCAAACUCGCUACCUCAGAAUGUUCCACAGAUCCUCAUUAACAGAGAACCAUUACAACAUUUGAAUUUUGACAUUGAACUGUUGGGUGACUGUGAUGUCAUCAUCAGUGAACUUUGCAAGCGUCUGAAAGAUGGAUUUCAGGUUCUGGCAGAUUCUUCCCCAGCUAUGCAAUGAGAUCUCGAGAGAUCAAUUACGCACACCUUCCCCUGUUCCCUUCCCUCAGAAAAAUCCGCUGGAAUCUUCUGAAGAGGAUAAAGUUGACAGCCAGGAAGUUCCAGUUGUAAGGGCAGGCCAUUUGUCAAGUGUGAAUGACACUGAGGGGCAAUUAGAGACUGAGAAAUCAAGUCCAUCAGAAGGUGACAAGAACAAGCAAGAUGAUGCAGGGAAAAUUACAAACAGUGAAAAUAUUGAAAAUCUAGCAUGUACAGAUGGUUUGAAUAGCAAUUCUGCAGCAUCUCAGUGCCUUGAAUCAAAUGCUGUCCAACCUCCAUUGGAAAAUCCAUUGGAGGAAGCUAUGCCAUGUGAUUCUACGACAGAAGAACUUAGGUCCAUGUGGCAGCCAGAGAGAGUUAGUCUUGCUAAGUACUUAGAAGAUGGGCAGUACGUACAUCUACCUCCAAACAGAUAUGCAUUCCCAGGGGCAGAAAUUUACACAGAUGGAGAGAGUGAGGAAGAGGAGGAACAUUUCAGAAACAGCAUUAGCAUGUCAAGCAGCUCCAGUUGUUCUUCACUCAACAGUCACGGCAAUGUGGAACAAUCUGACGAAGAAAACAAGAGUGUCGGGAAACAAGAGUCCAAUGAGGAGCCAAUGAAUGCGUCAGGAAAAGACAGUGAUGAUAUGUCAAGUGAUGUCCGAAUCUCUAGCACAGACUGUGGCAAUUCCAAGCAUCAGGAUUCUCGGACAUCACCCACAGUGGGGUUGAAUGCAAGUUCUUGUCACUUGGACGCUGAACAAACGGUUGUAAGCCAGUCUUGUGUCGGACAAACAAGCAAAGAUGUGAAAUUAGAUAUACCAAGUGCACAGCAGCCCAAGGAUGAAGAUGUAGCUCUACCUGACUCCUCUAAUAGCAGCAUGUAAAUUGUUAUAUGUCGCUAUCUUAUGCACACUCUUAAUACAUGUACAAGCAUAUUCUUGUUAUUUUGAGAUCAGAUUUACCUAUCUAGUUAUGUAUGUUUUAGUACUGAAAUUAAAAGUAGUUAGUAAAUUUGUUAAUGAAGAC
rnacentral:misc_RNA from 1 species